rnacentral:siRNA from 1 species
UGGAAAAACUAUUCUGGCGUACCA